rnacentral:lncRNA from 1 species
AAUAAAAUAAAUCAAUAAUAUACUUUUAAAUAAAAUACAGUAAAGUCAACCCAUCAUUUUCAAACUUGAAAAGUGCAUUUUUAUCUUAGAAAUCUAUAAUUAUCAAAACAGCAGUUUAAAAAAAAAAAAAAAGGAAAUUCAGCUUUUUCUUGAUUCUAGAGAGGUCUUGGAGUUAUGGAAGAACAAUCACCCUGUUACUGAUGAACAAGAGAUAAAAUAAUAAUAUUAAUACAUUUUCUUGAAUCCUUUAAAGUUUUAUAAAUUGCCCAUGGAGGUUUGUGAACCAAGGUCACUGUGUUUCUUUUCAUUCUUUUAAUUAUCUAGUUCCAGCCUGAUACACUAGCCUUACUAAUUGGACACAGAGAAAUCCCUUAUCAGAGAAGUUAGAAAAGGACCUAUAUAAAGGGUGUGGAAGACUGCUGUAAAUCAAAGAAGAGGAACUGAACAGAAGGAAAGCCAAUCAACUGUACCCCUCCGAGCUGUGAACAUAGAGGAAAAGCAGAGUCUCGUUGGAUGGAGGUAUAAGUGGCCAGCAGCUGCUGACAGAACGCAGAGAGAUUUGGAGUUUGUGUACAUCAUGUCAAUUGCAAACAGCCAUGAAGUUCUUUUGCACUGACAAGUUGAGAACAGUUCAGGAACUUGUUGCAUCA